rnacentral:rRNA from 1 species
GAUGAACGCUGGCGGCGUGCUUAACACAUGCAAGUCGAACGGAAAGGCUCCUGCUUGCAGGGGUACUCGAGUGGCGAACGGGUGAGUAACACGUGGGUGAUCUGCCCUGCACUUCGGGAUAAGCCUGGGAAACUGGGUCUAAUACCGGAUAGGACGAUGGUUUGGAUGCCAUUGUGGAAAGUUUUUUCGGUGUGGGAUGAGCUCGCGGCCUAUCAGCUUGUUGGUGGGGUAAUGGCCUACCAAGGCGUCGACGGGUAGCCGGCCUGAGAGGGUGUACGGCCACAAUGGGAAUGGGGUACGGCCCAGACUCCUACGGGAGGCAGCAGUGGGGAAUAUUGUACAAUGGGCGCAAGCCUGAUGCAGCGACGCCGCGUGGGGGAUGACGGCCUUCGGGUUGUAAACUCCUUUCGCUAGGGACGAAGCGCAAGUGACGGUACCUGGAGAAGAAGCACCGGCUAACUACGUG